rnacentral:rRNA from 1 species
UACGUAGGGUGCAAGCGUUGUCCGGAAUUAUUGGGCGUAAAGCGCACGUAGGCGGCUUUGCAAGUCCCAUGUGAAAGCCCACGGCUUAACCGUGGAAGUGCAUGGGAAACUGCAGAGCUUGAGUACUUAAGAGGAUCGCGGAAUUCCCGGUGUAGAGGUGAAAUUCGUAGAUAUCGGGAGGAACACCAGUGGCGAAGGCGGCGAUCUGGGAAGAUACUGACGCUGAGGUGCGAAAGCGUGGGAGCAAACAGG